UCUUGAGCUACCGAGCUAUACUAAUUUACAGCAUUUACUAAUAAAAAUUAGAAUUUUAAUAAUUUUAUCCUAUUUACGACGCCAUAAUUAAUAAACUCUUAAACUAAGACCGAAACUUGUCAAAAAAUAAAUUCGGCCAGGCUCAACAGCCCUGAUAUUUUCAGAGAAAAGCACUGCCCUAACUGCCCGAACCCCUGUAGAGAGAUUACGGGCAGCUUCCUCAGUAACCCCCUCCCCUUCACCCAAACGCACCAGAACGAAGAGUCCUCUCUCUUUCUAUCACAAUCUCUUGGUCUCUAUUGAUUCUCUGCUUGAUCGGACGGUCAGAAAUCGACGCUAUUUCUAAUCUGAUUUUUUUUCAUCUUUUACCUUCUAAAACUCUCCGAUCUGCUUCAUCCAAGUUGAUCGGACGGUCAGAAAUCAACGCUGCUUCUAAUCUGAUUUUUUUCAUCUUUUAGCUUCGAAAACUCUCCGACCUGCUUCAUCCAAGCUCAGAUCUAUUUCUCUGGUAAGUUUCUAGCUCCAAUUUGCUAAAUCUUUUUCAACUGUGUUUUUUCACCAGAUUUCUUUUUCAGAAUUAGUUAAUAUUUCGAAAAAAUAAGCUCUGAAUAACAGUUGACUUCUGUCGUCUUCUUCUGUUGCAACUAAUAAAAAACGAUUUUUUUCUAUUUAACUAGUUUUGUUUUUGUUAAAUUUUUGGUUUUUUUUUGUGAAGAAAUUGUACGGUUGAGAUUAAAGUGUAGUUUGGAUCAAACGGUGUGUUACUGCAGGU
rnacentral:lncRNA from 1 species